rnacentral:rRNA from 1 species
CCUUCGGGAGGCAGCAGUGGGGAAUAUUGCACAAUGGGGGAAACCCUGAUGCAGCGACGCCGCGUGAGCGAUGAAGUCUUUCUGUAUGUAAAGCUCUAUCAGCAGGGAAGAAAAUGACGGUACCUGACUCAGACGCCCCGGCUAACUCCGUCCCAGCGGCCGCGGUCCUACGGAGGGGGCAAGCGUUAUCCGGGUUUACUGGGUGUAAGGGGAGCGUAGACGGUCCUGCAAGCCAGGUGUGAAAGCCCGGGGCUAAACCCCGGGACUGCCGUUGGAACUGUAAGGCUAGAGUGUGGGAGCGGCAGGCGGAAUUUCUAGUGUAGCGGUGAAAUGCGUAGAUAUUAGGAGGAACACCAGUGGCGAAGGCGGCCUGCUGGACGAUGACUGACGUUGAGGCUCGAAAGCGUGGGGAGCAAACAGGAUUAGAUACCCUUGUAGUC